rnacentral:lncRNA from 1 species
UUUAGUUGUCAUCGAUAUUUAGUUGGGCUACAAAAGGUCUACGUGUGGGAUUGAUAAAAAAAAAAAAAAAAGGAUUAUGCUUGUUGUACAUUGGAGGCUAUAUCUGAGUGUCCAUAAUGGAAACAAUUAUGUAACACCCAAUGUUCAUGUAGCAAGGUCCAAAAAUAUAUAUAUACAAGGCAGAGAGAUUGAAGGGAUUUGGACCUCAAAUUGGCGUGAAAGACAAGUGGCUGCUGGUCUAUAAUAUAUAUAUACACACAGACACGAAAGAAAAAAAGGAAAAAACGGCUGCCAUUAUAUGUAUUCCACACGCCAACUGGAGGAGAGCGACGCCGUCUGUACGUGAUAUAUAUUGAUACAAAAAAAGCAGCAGCUUGACGGAAUUUGUUGGGGAGUUAAAUUAUAUAUAUAUAUAUAUAUAUAUAUAUAUAUAGAGACACACACACAACAAAGGCGGCUGCCGGUUUAAUUAUCUAUAUAUACACAGCAGUGUGCAGCUGAAGGAGACACAUACAACUUCCGGCAGAUGGUUUAUAUUAUGUUCACAUAUAUAGGCGGCUAGAAUUAAGGGAGAAAAAUGGCAAUCGGGCGCGAGGAAUUCAAAUACAUUGAACACGGCAGCUAGAACAUAUACGUCUACGUGCACCCGGCUGGAAUUGAAGUAUAUAUCAUACACACGCAGAAUUGGGACAGCAGAACACAAUUAACGGCCAACUAUUUUGAAAAAGACAGCAACUUUCAUCUGGAUAUUAAUCACGUUCCGUCAAAUUUUGGUGGUGUUGUUCCAGUUUUAUGUAUUUAAUUCCAACAUUAUGUUAUGCUAAUCCCUCUCUUGUAUUGGAUGAAGAUGAAAUAUUUGGUUAUUUAUUUUUUAUUCAAGACACGUGGCUUAGUUAAAUUCUUGUAAUUCUUGAUUAAUCUUGUAUGCUUAAUUUUAUUAUUUGAUUUUUUG